rnacentral:rRNA from 1 species
ACGAGGGGGGCAAGCGUUGUUCGGAAUUAUUGGGCGUAAAGGGCUCGUAGGCGGCCAACUAAGUCGGACGUGAAAUCCCUCGGCUCAACCGGGGAACUGCGUCCGAUACUGGAUGGCUUGAAUCCGGGAGAGGGAUGCGGAAUUCCAGGUGUAGCGGUGAAAUGCGUAGAUAUCUGGAGGAGCACCGGUGGCGAAGGCGGCAUCCUGGACCGGCAUUGACGCUGAGGAGCGAAAGCCAGGGGAGCAAACGGGA